rnacentral:rRNA from 1 species
UACGUAGGGGCAAGCGUUGUCCGGAAUCAUUGGGCGUAAAGCGCGCGUAGGCGGCCAGAUAAGUCCGGUGUGAAAGUCACAGGCUCAACCUGUGAAUGCCGCUGGAAACUGUCUGGCUUGAGUCCGGAAGGGGCGAGUGGAAUUCCUGGUGUAGCGGUGAAAUGCGUAGAUAUCAAGAGGAACACCUGAGGUGAAGACGGGUUGCUGGGCUGACACUGACGUGAGGCGCGAAAGCCAGGGGAGCAAACGGGG